AUUGAGGUUGGGGAGUAUGGAGAGGUCCUGUCAGAUGAUGCUGUGCGUGCUCUCAAAUUGUUGGACGAACCAGUGGUGGCUGACGCCGCGUGCUGCCUCAUGUCAGUGCACACUGCUGAGGGCACAGAAGCGGCAGAAACCAUCAGGCUUCGUGCUGCUGUGGGCGGACAGACCAUGUUAUUGCUCGUAGACUCCGACAGUACAUACCGUUUCGUCAGCACAACCUUUGCAGAACGUGUUCAAGCUCCGACAACCAAGAUUCUGGCAGUGGCUGUUCGCGUCGCCAACGGCCAACGGUUAACCUGCACAGCCAUGGCACCCCAGCUCCGUUGGACCAUACAGGGUCAUGAAUUUGCCACCGAUAUGCGUCUGUUGGAGUUGGGCGUGUAUGAUGCUGUCGUGGGAGUUGACUGGCUUGCUCAGCAUAGCCCAAUGAAGUGUGAUUGGAAUCUGAAAUCGAUGGAAUUCUUCAAGGAGGGAGCCACGGUACAGCUGUUCGGCGUGCGCACGGAGGAGCAGCCUACACUAGCCGCAAUGGAUGCUGCUAUGAUUUGGUAAUUGCAGGAGGCAAACGAAAUCUAGGGCGCGGCUUUGUUGGAGAUUCAGGCCCCCUCAUCAACCCAAGAGGAACCAAUUCCCCCGAUAAUCCAACCGGUACUGACAGACUUUCGUGAUGUCUUUGAGGAGCCAAUCUCAUUACCUCCUCGUCGACAGUACGAUCACGCCAUCACCCUGGAACCGGGAACAACAACAAUCAACUGCAGACCAUACAGGUACUCGCCACUUCAAAAAGAUGAAAUC
rnacentral:rRNA from 1 species